rnacentral:rRNA from 1 species
AUUGAACGCUGGCGGCAUGCCUUACACAUGCAAGUCGAACGGUAACAGGUCUUCGGAUGCUGACGAGUGGCGAACGGGUGAGUAAUACAUCGGGACGUGCCCGAUCGUGGGGGAUAACGAAGCGAAAGCUUUGCUAAUACCGCAUAAGAUCUACGGAUGAAAGCAGGGGACCGCAAGGCCUUGCGCGAACGGAGCGGCCGAAGGCAGAUUAGGUAGUUGGUGGGAUAAAAGCUUACCAAGCCGACGAUCUGUAGCUGGUCUGAGAGGACGACCAGCCACACUGGGACUGAGACACGGCCCAGACUCCUACGGGAGGCAGCAGUGGGGAAUUUUGGACAAUGGGCGAAAGCCUGAUCCAGCCAUGCCGCGUGCAGGAUGAAGGCCUUCGGGUUGUAAACUGCUUUUGUACGGAACGAAAAGACUCUUUCUAAUAAAGAGGGUCCAUGACGGUACCGUAAGAAUAAGCACCGGCUAACUACGUGCCAGCCGCCGCGGUAA